rnacentral:rRNA from 1 species
CAAGGUUAAGAACGUGAACGUUCGCAGCCGAAGCGAAAGCGAGUCUGAACAGGGCGUCUAGUCAGUGGGGGUUGACGCGAAACUUGGUGAUCUACCCCUGGCCAGGUUGAAGGAGUGGUAAAACACUGUGGAGGACCGAACCGAUAAGCGUUGAAAAGCUUCCGGAUGAGCUGGGGGUAGGGGUGAAAGGCCAAUCAAACUGAGAAAUAGCUCGUACUCUCCGAAAUGUUUUUAGGAACAGCGUUGCGUGUUACCACCGGUGAGGUAGAGCCACCAACAGGAUGCGGGGGAGUCACAUCCUACCAACUUCUGAUGAACUCCGAAUGCGCCGGUGGGUGCGUGGCAGUGAGGGCUUGGGUGCUAAGGUCCAAGUCCGAGAGGGGAACAACCCAGACCAUCAGCUAAGGUCCCAAAGUAUAUGCUAAGUUGAACAAAGGCGGUCCGGCUGCUGAGACAGCCAGGAGGUUAGCUUGGAAGCAGCUAUUCCUUUAAAGAGUGCGUAACAGCUCACUGGUCGAGCGGGGCGGGCGUCGAUAAUAACCGGGCAUCAAGCAUAUCACCGAAGCUAUGGACUCAUGCAAGAGCAUGAUGUGGUAGGAGAGCAUUCUGACAGCAGUGAAGUUGUUCCGUGAGGGAUGGUGGAGCGGUUAGAAAAGCAAAUGUAGGCAUAAGUAACGAGAAUGGGGAUGAGAACUCCCCACACCGAAAAGCUAAGGUUUCCUCCGCGAUGGCAGUCAUCGGAGGGUUAGUCGGGGUCUAAGGAGCAGCCGACAGGCGGGCUUUGAGGGGAAACGGGUUAAUAGUCCCGUACUAUCUAUGCAGGGGUGCUCAUGACGGAGUGCCAGAGAUGCUACGUCCUGACGGAAUAGGGCGUUGAGAUGAGUCUUCGGAUGAGUCGAAGCGUUGACGGGGCUUCCAAGAAAAGUGAGUAGCCGUUAAGCGUAUGGAUACCCGUACCGUAAACCGACACAGGUAGCUGGGAAGAAUAUUCUAAGGUGCGCGAAAGAAUCAUGGUUAAGGAACUCGGCAAGAUGACCCUGUAACUUCGGGAUAAGGGGGGCCUACUGGCAACAGAGGCUGCAGAGAAGAGGCCCAGGCGACUGUUUACCAAAAACACAGGACUCUGCCAAAAUGAAAGUUGACGCAUAGGGUCUGACACCUGCCCGGUGCUGGAAGGUUAAGGGGGGAGCUUAGUCGCAAGGCGAAGGUUUGAACUGAAGCCCCAGUAAACGGCGGCCGUAACUAUAACGGUCCUAAGGUAGCGAAAUUCCUUGUCGGGUAAGUUCCGACCUGCACGAAUGGUGUAACGAUCUGGGCACUGUCUCAACCAUGAGUUCGGUGAAAUUGUAGUAGCGGUGAAGAUGCCGCUUACCCGCCACGGGACGGAAAGACCCCGUGCACCUUUACUACAGCUUAACGCUGAAUGCCGGUCAGGCAUGUGUAGGAUAGGCGGGAGGCAGUGAAGCGGUGUCGCCAGGCAUCGUGGAGCCAACCUUGAAAUACCGCCCUUUUCUGACUGGCGUUCUAACUACGAGAGUAGGACCGCGUUUGGUGGGUAGUUUGACUGGGGUGGUCACCUCCGAAAGGGUAACGGAGGUUUCCCAAGGUUUGCUCAUGCCGGACGGUAAUCGGCAGGGGAGUGCAAUAGCAGAAGCAAGCUUGACAGUGAGGCCCACAAGCCGAUCUGGUGCGAAAGCAGGGUAUAGUGAUCCGGUGGUUCCGCAUGGAAGGGCCAUCGCUCAAAGGAUAAAAGGUACGCCGGGGAUAACAGGCUGAUCUCCCCCAAGAGCUCACAUCGACGGGGAGGUUUGGCACCUCGAUGUCGGCUCGUCACAUCCUGGGGCUGGAGAAGGUUCCAAGGGUUCGGCUGUUCGCCGAUUAAAGUGGCACGCGAGCUGGGUUCAGAACGUCGUGAGACAGUUCGGUCCCUAUCUGUGGUGGGCGUGGGAAUACUGACGGGAUCUGUCCUUAGUACGAGAGGACCGGGAUGGACUCACCGCUGGCGUACCGGUUGUUUGGCCGCAGGCACGGCCGGGUAGCUACGUGGGGAUCAGAUAAGCGCUGAAAGCAUCUAAGUGCGAAACUGGCCUGAAGAUGAGUGUUCCGGUAUAAAGGGGUGUUGUAGACGACGACGUUGAUAGGCGG